GCCGGGUUCAGUGGCGCGCGCCUGUAAUCCAAGCUACUGGGAGGCUGAGGCUGCGGAUCGCUUGAGCUUAGGGCUUCUGGACUGCAGUGGACUAUGUUGAUUAGGUGUCCACACUAACUUCGGUAUCGAUAUGGUGCUCCUGGGGGAGCUUGGGACCACCAGGAUGUGUAAUGAGGGGUGAACCGGCCCAGGUCGGCGACGGAGCAGGUCAAAUCCCCCGUGCUGAUCAGUAGUGGGAUCACACCUGAGAAUAGACACUGCAGUGCAGCCUGAGCGACACAGAGAGACGCAGACUUUU
rfam:Danio rerio chromosome 11, GRCz11 reference primary assembly.